UAACCUGCCCAAGAGAUCGGGAUAACACCUGGAAACAGAUGCUAAUACCGGAUAACAACAGAUGAUGCCUAUCAACUGUUUAAAAGAUGGUUCUGCUAUCACUCUUGGAUGGACCUGCGGUGCAUUAGCUAGUUGGUAGGGUAACGGCCUACCAAGGCGAUGAUGCAUAGCCGAGUUGAGAGACUGAUCGGCCACAUUGGGACUGAGACACGGCCCAAACUCCUACGGGAGGCAGCAGUC
rnacentral:rRNA from 1 species